rnacentral:rRNA from 1 species
AACGAACGCUGGCGGCAUGCCUAACACAUGCAAGUCGAACGAGACCUUCGGGUCUAGUGGCGCACGGGUGCGUAACGCGUGGGAACCUGCCCUUAGGUUCGGAAUAACUCCCCGAAAGGGGUGCUAAUACCGGAUAAUGUCUUCGGACCAAAGAUUUAUCGCCUUUGGAUGGGCCCGCGUUGGAUUAGCUAGUUGGUAGGGUAAAAGCCUACCAAGGCGACGAUCCAUAGCUGGUCUGAGAGGAUGAUCAGCCACACUGGGACUGAGACACGGCCCAGACUCCUACGGGAGGCAGCAGUGGGGAAUAUUGGAAAAUGGGGGAAAGCCUGAUCCAGCAAUGCCGCGUGAGUGAUGAAGGCCUUAGGGUAGUAAAGCUCGUUUACACGGGAUGAUAAUGACGGUACCGGGAGAAUAAGCACCGGCUAACUCCGUG